rnacentral:rRNA from 1 species
GAUGAACGCUGGCGGCGUGCUUAACACAUGCAAGUCGAACGAAGCACCUUGAUUCGAUUCUUCGGAUGAAGAUCUUGGUGACUGAGUGGCGGACGGGUGAGUAACGCGUGGGUAACCUGCCUCAUACAGGGGGAUAACAGUUAGAAAUGACUGCUAAUACCGCAUAAGACCACAGCACCGCAUGGUGCAGGGGUAAAAACUCCGGUGGUAUGAGAUGGACCCGCGUCUGAUUAGGUAGUUGGUGGGGUAACGGCCUACCAAGCCGACGAUCAGUAGCCGACCUGAGAGGGUGACCGGCCACAUUGGGACUGAGACACGGCCCAAACUCCUACGGGAGGCAGCAGUGGGGAAUAUUGCACAAUGGGGGAAACCCUGAUGCAGCGACGCCGCGUGAGCGAUGAAGUAUUUCGGUAUGUAAAGCUCUAUCAGCAGGGAAGAAAAUGACGGUACCUGACGAAGAAGCACCGGCUAAAUACGUG